CCUGCUUGGGGAACAUACUUCUUUAUAUGCCCAUAUGAACACGAGCAACUAUGGAAUGUAAAGAAGUAUGUAUCCCAGGUUGGGAAAAA
rnacentral:pre_miRNA from 1 species